GACGAACGCUGGCGGCGUGCUUAACACAUGCAAGUCGAACGGAAAGGCCCUGCUUUUGUGGGGUGCUCGAGUGGCGAACGGGUGAGUAACACGUGAGUAACCUUCCCUCGACUUUGGGAUAUCUUCAGGCAACUGGGGCUAAUACCUGAUAGGAGCUCCUGCUGCAUGGUGGGGGUUGGAAAGUUUCGGCGGUUGGGGAUGGACUCGCGGCUUAUCAGCUUGUUGGUGGGGUAGUGGCUUACCAAGGCUUUGACGGGUAGCCGGCCUGAGAGGGUGACCGGCCACAUUGGGACUGAGAUACGGACCAGACUCCUACGGGAGGCAGCAGUGGGGAAUAUUGCACAAUGGGCGGAAGCCUGAUGCAGCAACGCCGCGUGCGGGAUGAAGGCCUUCGGGUUGUAAACCGCUUUCGCCUGUGACGAAGCGUGAGUGACGGUAAUGGGUAAAGAAGCACCGGCUAACUACGUG
rnacentral:rRNA from 1 species